AUUGAACGCUGGCGGCAGGCCUAACACAUGCAAGUCGAGCGGGGUUUUCGGACCUAGCGGCGGACGGGUGAGUAAUGCGUAGGAAGCUACCCGAUAGAGGGGGAUACCAGUUGGAAACGACCGUUAAUACCGCAUAAUGUCUACGGACCAAAGUGUGGGACCUUCGGGCCACAUGCUAUCGGAUGCGCCUACGUGGGAUUAGCUAGUUGGUGAGGUAAUGGCUCACCAAGGCGACGAUCCCUAGCUGGUUUGAGAGGAUGAUCAGCCACACUGGAACUGAGACACGGUCCAGACUCCUACGGGAGGCAGCAGUGGGGAAUAUUGGACAAUGGGCGCAAGCCUGAUCCAGCCAUGCCGCGUGUGCGAAGAAGGCCUUCGGGUUGUAAAGCACUUUCAGCGAGGAGGAAGGGGUGAGUGUUAAUAGUACUCAUCUUUGACGUUACUCGCAGAAGAAGCACCGGCUAACUCUGUGCCAGCCGCCGCCGUAACAC
rnacentral:rRNA from 1 species